CCCUAUUAUUUUAGAAUGUUAAUAUUUAUUGUACCUGAGUAGUAAUAGAUAUGUUCUUGAAACUUAAAGAAUUUGGCGGUAUCUCAUUCCGUCUAGAGGAAUCUGUCUCGUUAUCGAUAGUCCACGUUGGACCUUACUUAUUUGAUUAUGGUUUGUAUACCGCCGUUUAUUGAUUAUCUUUUUAGGGUUAUAAAAUUUUCUUGCUUCUUUAUUUUGAUAUAUUUCAGGUCAAGGUGCAGCUUGUUUUUAAGUGGAAUGAUGGAUUACAUUGGUUAUUUGUUUAUGGAUUGUUGAUUUUAAUAUUGGCAUGAAAUUGGAUUUAGUUGUAAUAAUUUAUAGAUUAUUAUUAUGAUAUUAGGUUCUGAGAUAUGCACACAUCGCCCGUCGCUCUCGUUUGGUUUAUUGUAAUGAGAUAAGUC
rnacentral:rRNA from 1 species